rnacentral:rRNA from 1 species
UGGGGAAUAACGCAUCGAAAGAUGUGCUAAUACCGCAUAUUCUCCGAGGAGGAAAGCAGGGGAUCGUAAGACCUUGCGCUUUUGGAGUGGCCGACGCCUGAUUAGCUAGUUGGUGGGGUAAGAGCCUACCAAGGCGACGAUCAGUAGUUGGUCUGAGAGGACGACCAGCCACACUGGGACUGAGACACGGCCCAGACUCCUACGGGAGGCAGCAGUGGGGAAUUUUGGACAAUGGGCGGAAGCCUGAUCCAGCAAUGCCGCGUGAGUGAAGAAGGCCUUCGGGUUGUAAAGCUCUUUCAGUCGAGAAGAAAAGGUUGCGACUAAUAAUCGCAACUUAUGACGGUAUCGACAGAAGAAGCACCGGCUAACUACGUGCCAGCAGCCGCGGUAAUACGUAGGGUGCGAGCGUUAAUCGGAAUUACUGGGCGUAAAGGGUGCGCAGGCGGCUCUGUAAGUCAGAUGUG